rnacentral:lncRNA from 1 species
UUAUCCUAUUUAGGGUUAAAAAAAAUGUAUGGCAUACAUUACCAAGAAUCAAAGAUUGUGCCUGGCAGCAUAAUUGACUUUGUGACAGAGAGAAGCUGAGCAAGGAGCCUGUUGCCCAGCACAGAAUCACAGGACGUCGGAUCCAGGUGCACAGAAUACCCCGCACCUCCGCCAGAGACACACAGCCCUCUUCCUGGGGUUGUGGAGGGGGGGCAGUUGUGGCUUGCACCCAGCCAAGGAUUUUCAGGUGAGAUUUGCUGUCCCAUUUCUCACCUUGCUUUGGUAAGCAUUUCCUACAUUCCAUCAACACUAAAA